GUCCACGCUGUAAACGAUGAGUGCUAGGUGUUGUGGGUAUUGACCCCCGCGGUGCCGUAGCUAACGCGUUAAGCACUCCGCCUGGGGAGGUACGGCCGCAAGGCUAAAACUACAAAGGAAUUGACGGGGGCCCGGCACAAGCGGUGGAGCAUGUGGUUUAAUUUCGACGCAACGCGCAGAACCUUACCAGGGCUAGAAAAGGUAGGAACCCGGAUGAAAGUCUGGGGUGCCCGCAAGGGAAUCUACAUCCAGGUGCUGCAUGGCUGUCGU
rnacentral:rRNA from 1 species